rnacentral:rRNA from 1 species
AGAGUUUGAUCCUGCCUCAGGAUCAACGCUAGCGGCAGGCUUAACACAUGAAAGCCGAGGGGCAGCGUGGUAGUAGCUUAAUACCUCUGACGGCGACCGGCGAAAGGGUGAGUAACGCGUGAGCAACAUGCCGGUAGCUGGAGGAUAGUCAAUGGAAACGUCGCGUAAUACCCGAACAUCAUGUGUACCUGCAUGGGGAUCCAUUUAAAUAUUCUUUUGCUAUCGAUUGGGUCGCGUACCAUUGGCUUGUGGGGGGGGUAACGGCCCACCAAGGCCCCGAUCAGUAGGGGUUCUGAGAGGAAGGUCCCCCACAUAGGAACUGAAACACGGUCCUAACUCCUACGGGAGGCAGCAGUGAGGAAUAUUGGUCAAUGGACGAGAGUCUGAACCAGCCAAGUAGCGUGAAGGAUGACUGCCCUACGGGUUGUAAACUUCUUUUAGGGGAGAAUAAAGUGAGGUACGCGUACCUUAUUGUAGGUAUCCCAUGAAUAAGCAUCGGCUAAUUCCGUGCCAGCAGCCGCGGUAAUACGGAAGAUGCGAGCGUUAUCCGGAUUUAUUGGGUUUAAAGGGAGCGUAGGCGGAAGCUUAAGUCUGCGGUAAAAUGUCGGCGCUUAACGUCGGCCUGCCGUGGAAACUGGGUUUCUUGAAUGUGCACAAGGUGGAUGGAAUUCGUGGUGUAGCGGUGAAAUGCUUAGAUAUGACGAAGAACUCCGAUUGCGAAGGCAGCUGACUGUAGCGUUACUGACGCUGAAGCUCGAAGGUGCGGGUAUCGAACAGGAUUAGAUACCCUGGUAGUCCGCACAGUAAACGAUGGAUGCUCGUUGUUCGCGUUUGAAGGUGAGUGACUAAGCGAAACCGUUAAGCAUCCCACCUGGGGAGUACGCCGGCAACGGUGAAACUCAAAGGAAUUGACGG